rnacentral:piRNA from 1 species
CAGCUAGUACAGAUGGAGAUGACUGGC